CACGUAGGGCGCAAGCGUUGUCCGGAAUUAUUGGGCGUAAAGAGCUCGUAGGCGGUCUGUUGCGUCCGCUGUGAAAACUCGGGGCUUAACCCCGAGCCUGCAGUGGAUACGGGCAGACUAGAGGUAGGUAAGGGAGAAUGGAAUUCCCGGUGUAGCGGUGAAAUGCGCAGAUAUCGGGAGGAACACCGGUGGCGAAGGCGGUUCUCUGGGCCUUACCUGACGCUGAGGAGCGAAAGCGUGGGGAGCGAACAGG
rnacentral:rRNA from 1 species